AACGAACGCUGGCGGCAGGCUUAACACAUGCAAGUCGAGCGCCCUGCAAGGGGAGCGGCAGACGGGUGAGUAACGCGUGGGAAUCUACCCAUCUCUACGGAAUAACGCAUGGAAACGUGUGCUAAUACCGUAUACGUCCUUCGGGAGAAAGAUUUAUCGGAGAGGGAUGAGCCCGCGUUGGAUUAGCUAGUUGGUGGGGUAAAGGCCUACCAAGGCGACGAUCCAUAGCUGGUCUGAGAGGAUGAUCAGCCACACUGGGACUGAGACACGGCCCAGACUCCUACGGGAGGCAGCAGUGGGGAAUAUUGGACAAUGGGCGCAAGCCUGAUCCAGCCAUGCCGCGUGAGUGAUGAAGGCCCUAGGGUUGUAAAGCUCUUUCACCGGUGAAGAUAAUGACGGUAACCGGAGAAGAAGCCCCGGCUAACUUCGUGCCAGCCGCCGCCGUAAUAC
rnacentral:rRNA from 1 species